AUCCCAUUGGCCUUUUUCUUCUAGAGGAAACAGCCUCAAGUUGCAACAGGGGAGGGUUAGGAUGGAUAUUAGGAAAAUAUCUUCACUGAAAGGAUUGUGAGGUAUUGGAAGAGGCUGUCCAGACAAGCAGCUAAAUCACCAUCCCUGGAGUUUUUCAAAAAAUGUGUCGAUGUGGAGCUUAGUAACAUGGUUUAAUGGUGGACUUGGCAGUGCUAGGGUAAAGUUUGGACUAGGUGAUCAUAGGGGUCUUUUCCAACCUAAACAAUCUAUGAUUCAAUGAUUACUCCUGAUUGCCCUGUGUACUAUGUUACCUUGAUCUGGCUGACUCAGACUGGAACCAAACCACUUCAGGAUUUGCUUUUUAAAUAGGAGAGACCCUCCCACUCUCCUAUGUUACACUUGGCUGUUGGUGCAAGAUCUCUUGCAAAGGGGUUGCCGGAAUCUAAAUGUUGUGGACCUGACACAGAGGCCCAUUUGCCUUUUUUUUUUUUUUCUUCCUGUGUCUGCUCCAGUUCUACUCCCAUAGGUUUGCAGCAUCUGCAAAAAGCCUCUUGGAAAUGGAGCCUAUCUGCAUCAAUUCAAAGGCAUUCAUGAGGAGGCAUUAAUGAUGCUGUCAAGGCACCCAUGAUGAAGAACACCUACUAAGUGUGCAACAAGGCCCAUCAGGGCUCAGCAUGAAGGAAUGUCCUGUAAUGAUACAAGAACAGUUCUUCCACUGCUGCUAUUUCCCAAUCAUCUUUUGUGCAUGGAAUAAUUGAAAACUGAAAACAAGAUAAAAGGGUAGAGCAGUCCUUGGGCAGAUCAGUGGACAGAGGAUUCACCAUCUUUAGUUUUGGCAUUGUGAGGCAGAGAAAAAUAAGAAACUGACCCAGCUGAUAAGAACAUCUAGGCAACACAGACUUGUGCUAACUCAGCUCAGUUGUGCUGUGCAAUACAGAACAGAAAAAGGUAUUCAGCUUAGCUGGCUGGUUGAAAUUGCUAUAUAAUUAGCCUCCUCUGAAAUUUCUUCCAUCAGAAAUGGCAAAGCAGAGGGCUUGGGACUGCAGGAUCCAGUGAUACAAUUUGUGCAAAUCCUGUGCAUUCUGGGCUCUUGGGCUCACUGCAACAUUCAGGGAAAGUCUCGUCACAAAACAUAUGGAGGAAGCAAGUCUCCCACCAAACAGCUACUGAGAAGCAGUGGUUGCUUUGGGCAUUGUCUAGACAGUGCUACUGUCUACUAGCAGUAUACAAAAUUGGGAAGUCCUUUCUCAGCAUAGCAAAGCACGUAAGCACAUGGUUAAUAACACAUGGUGUAAUAGUUCCAGGGACUCCAAUCAAAUUAAGCUAUGUGCUUACAAGCUCUGUUGAACUGGAACCAGAUUGCAUUAGCUUGCUUUAACCUCUCCACAGAUCACAAACACUUAGACGGAAACACCUGCCUUAGAGAACUGAAGAUAAUAGAGCAACACAGGAGGAGGUGAUACUCUGACUGGUGGCUGCUGGGAUGGUUUGGGUUGAUGUCGAGCCCAGCAUGCAAUUCUGGGUUCAGUAAACCUAGGAGUUAAUUCUGAUGCUGUAGUGUGAUUCAGGGAAAUAAAGUCAAACCUACCAGAGACCUUGGCCA
rnacentral:lncRNA from 1 species